rnacentral:rRNA from 1 species
AGCAGCCGCGGUAAUUCCAGCUCCAAUAGCGUAUAUUAAAGUUGUUGCAGUUAAAAAGCUCGUAGUUGAAUUUCGGGAUCAGUAGGUUGGUCAUGCCUCUGGUAUGUACUGGUCUCACUGGUUCCUCCUUCCUGAUGAACCGUAAUGCCAUUAAUUUGGUGUUGCGGGGAGACUGGACUGUUACUUUGAAAAAUUAGAGUGUUUAAAGCAGGCUUACGCUUGAAUACAUUAGCAUGGAAUAAUGAAAUAGGACGUUCGAUCCUAUUUUGUUGGUUUCUAGGAUUGACGUAAUGAUUAAUAGGGAUAGUUGGGGGCAUUAGUAUUCAAUUGUCAGAGGUGAAAUUCUUGGAUUUAUUGAAGACUAACUACUGCGAAAGCAUUUGCCAAGGAUGUUUUCAUUAAUCAAGAACGAAAGUUAGGGGAUCGAAGACGAUCAGAUACCGUCGUAGUCUUAACCAUAAACUAUGCCGACUAGGGAUCGGAUGAUGUUAAUUUUAUAAUGACUCAUUC